rnacentral:rRNA from 1 species
UACGUAGGUGACCAGCGUUGUCCGGAUUUACUGGGCGUAAAGAGCGCGCAGGCGGUCGUUCAAGUCGAGUGUGAAAGCCCCCGGCUCAACUGGGGAGGGUCACUCGAUACUGAUCGACUCGAAGGCAGGAGAGGGAAGCGGAAUUCCCGGUGUAGUGGUGAAAUGCGUAGAUAUCGUAAGGAAGACCAGUGGCGAAGGCGGGUCUCUGGACAGUUCCUGACGCUGAGGCACGAAGGUCAGGGGAGCAAACGGG